AGUGAACGCUGGCGGUAGGCCUAACACAUGCAAGUCGAACGGCAGCACAGUAAGAGCUUGCUCUUACGGGUGGCGAGUGGCGGACGGGUGAGGAAUACAUCGGAAUCUACUUUUUCGUGGGGGAUAACGUAGGGAAACUUACGCUAAUACCGCAUACGACCUACGGGUGAAAGCAGGGGAUCUUCGGACCUUGCGCGAUUGAAUGAGCCGAUGUCGGGUUAGCUAGUUGGCGGGGUAAAGGCCCACCAAGGCGACGAUCCGUAGCUGGUCUGAGAGGAGGAUCAGCCACCCUGGAACUGAGACACGGUCCAGACUCCUACGGGAGGCAGCAGUGGGGAAUAUUGGGCAAUGGGCGCAAGCCUGAUCCAGCCAUACCGCGUGGGUGAAGAAGGCCUUCGGGUUGUAAAGCCCUUUUGUUGGGAAAGAAAAGCAGCAGGUUAAUACCCCGCUGUUCUGACGGUACCCAAAGAAUAAGCACCGGCUAACUUCGUG
rnacentral:rRNA from 1 species